UGUAGUCAUAUGCUUGUCUCUGAGACUAAGCCAUGCAUGUCUAAGUAUAAACAAAUUUGUACUGUAAAACUGCGGACGGCUCAUUAAAUCAGUUACAAUCUACUUGAUCGUAUAUUCAAAGAAUUAGUCGGGUAACCCUAGUAAUUCUAGAGCUAAUACGUGCAAAAAGCUCCGACCUCUUCUUUUAGGGGAAAGAGUGUAUUUAUUAGGUAACUUAAAACCAAUCAGCCCAAAAGGCUGUUUUGUUGAUGAUUCAUAAUAACUUUGCAAAUCGCGGGCCAAUGUCUGCGAUGAUACAAACGAGUUUCUGACCUAUCAACUUUAGAUGGCAGGAUAGGGGCUUGCCAUGGUGACAACGGGUAACGGGGA
rnacentral:rRNA from 1 species